GGAUGGGUGGCAGAGCGGCUUAUCGCGCCAGGUUGCUAACCUGGUGAGCCCGCAAGGCUCCGCGGGUUCGAAUCCCGCCCCAUCCGCCA
rnacentral:tRNA from 1 species